UACGGAGGGGGCAAGCGUUGUUCGGAAUUACUGGGCGUAAAGGGCGCGCAGGCGGCUGCUCAAGUCAGGCGUGAAAGGCCUGGGCUCAACCCGGGAAUUGCGCUUGAGACUGGGCUGGCUUGAGUGCGGGAGAGGAUGGUGGAAUUCCAGGUGUAGCGGUGAAAUGCGUAGAUAUCUGGAGGAACACCGGUGGCGAAGGCGGCAUCCUGGACCAACACUGACACUGAGGAGCGAAAGCCAGGGGAGCAAACGGG
rnacentral:rRNA from 1 species